CCCUGCCAAAGCCAUAAACUAUCUCAGCGGAUAGACUAAAUACAGCUCUUUACAAAGGACAUGAAUCUCCCUAUUGGAUGUCUCGGCUCUAAGAGGGAGGGACGGAGGCUUAGCUGGUGCAACUCCACAUAGCUCCAGGGCAGCCAGGGAAGGCGCCCAAUUCCCACCAGCUGAUGAACUGGCCCCCAGGAGAAAGCCCAGGGUAGGAGACGAAAGGCUGUGGAUUCCUCCUAUAUAGACACCUGAUCUGCGGAAGGGAGGAGAGGCUGAACCGGAGCUUACGCUCUGAGCCUAGAGACUGACCCCUGUCAUCAGUGGCAUUGCCUCCCUCGAGGAAAUACUUGACUUGGAAAAGCAGAAAGAAGAGAGAGCUGCAGACAAAACACCUAUUGUUAGUGAGAGCAGCCUGUUGAGACGUUGUGGCAGAAAAUGCUUACAAAGCAGAUAUUGAUCCAUCUCACAGGUGAAAGGUAUAAUUAGGCAUGCAGUCAAGGCCUGCAAGAUCCAAGACAAGAUCUUCUGAUGAAGGAAGGCCCUUGAUACGUCAAAGGGUGCAGGAAGCACAUGUAUGAAAUCAAUAGAGUGCAUCAGAGCUGAUAAUAAUGACAGAAGAUUGAUUAUACUGCAAAUGAUAGAACGAUUCCCUGGGAAGCUUGCGAAAACAAAGAAGAUAUUCAUCCCUGCCGGCGGUUCCCCCAACACGUCCCAGCUGCGUGUCCCCGGCCAUUGGGCACCACACCUGGGCCCCCACCACAGCUGCUCCCCCCAGCAGUGCCUGGGAAAGGCACCACGAGCCCUCUCUGAGGUCGGCACAGAAAUGACGCAGCUCAAAACUCUGCGUGCUGGGCAGCCGUGGAGAAAGCUGAUUCACACUGGGGCUGGGGCUGUCACAGGUCCUCAAGGAAGGCGCCAUCUCACAGGGCUGCAGUCAUCUCUGGGGCCUGGCACAGCAGAAGCUGCAGCUCAUUUUGAGGCGUGAAUAUUUCUGUAAUAAUAGUAAUAAUCCAGUUUGCCCCAAAUUUGCAGUUUCUGCUCAAACCAAAGUUCAUGGGAAACUUUUCUGGGAAAGAGGUCAAUCAUAUGUUUAAAGGAGGGGGGGAAAAAAACUUGCUGUGUGAGUUCACCUGCUUGCGAAGGACGUGAAAGAGUCAAAAGUGAAUGCACUGUACCGCUCAGCAUGCUGUGCUGAGGCAGAGCAGACAUGGUGGUGUCUCCAAGGAGUGCCAAGUUACCCAAUGUCUGCCUUCUGAGCUAGCAAGCAAUCCUCCUCCGGCUUUCUGUGGCUUUCUUUGGAGAGUUUUGGAGAAUUUUGUGCAUGAAGAAUGUCGAGAGCAAUAAAACAAACUCCUCUACUCUGCA
rnacentral:lncRNA from 1 species